CUUAGAUAAUAGAAAAAACACUAGAUCUGACCGCAAUGUUGUCAAGGGUGCUCGGGCUGCUCGAAUUCAGCAAAACAAAUGCUUUUCAUCCAAUAAAGGAUAAUAUUUCUAUUGCCUAAAGGCAGGAUUGCAUAUUUUUGUCGAUAAGGAAGCAGAAAAGGUGUGCUGUUUUGGAAGAAAAAAGGGCAUCCAGUUGAUUGACUAGUCCUCCCCGUGUCAUUGUAUAUGAUAUGUUUUUAAUGUUAAUAUUGUUUGUACCCAAAGGAAUUGUUAAUCCUUCAUGAAAGGUUCUUUUGUAUAAAACUAGACUACAUUUGUUUCCUGGUAAAUUGAGAUCUAGAUGGACUGGGCCGCUUCAUAGUUAAAACUGUUUUUUCUCAUGGGGCCCAGAUUGAAAAUCCCAAGAAUGGUAAUGUUUUUAAAGUGACUGGCCAACGUCUUAAACCAGUUUUGGAGAAUUUCCCACAUGAAGAGGAGAGGAGUCCAUCGAAUUAAAAGACCCUAUUCAUUCAUUCAUGUUUGAGCUGGUAAAGAUGUUUGUAGUCCUUUCACAAUAAGUUAUUUAUGGGGAAAAAAAGAAAUUAUGAUUUCAUCUAACAAUUAUUCUCUAUUUAUGAUGACAUAUCAUAUGAUAAAUCGUAUUUGAAAAUCACUCUUCCAAUGUUUGAUUGCAGUGAACUUUUAGACCCUGUUGUUGCUGAAGCUACACUGGACUUUCGAAAUCUUAACAAGAGAAAACUUUUAACUAAUUUCUCAAUAUUUCUCCCUCAGGCCUUUUUUUAUUCAAUGGCAACUGAGUAGCGAGUAGUAACACAAGUGAUGAAGACUAAAGAAUUCGUCAACUGAGCACUGAGUCAACAACCAGCGUGAUUCUUUGGAAGAUGACAUGGGCAUGGAGAUAGAAGGUAAUGGGCAUGCCUGCAUAUCUUCAACCUGAUCUGGAAGCAGAUCUCGUCUUGCCUUCGACACCAGCUGGCAGUGUCAAUUACCAGAUAUAUCUAUGCUGUUUUGUUGGCUACUGGUGGUAAAAGGCUUGGAUGUUAGAAGAUAAAUAUAAUUGACCUUUCUACUGCUACUAGGUGGUAUUCUUAGGUUAGUAUGAAAGAAACCUGAGGUAUGGGUUCUAUUGACAAAGUGGGAGGGAGGUUUCUUAUACAUGGAGGAGGCUUCUAUGUUAAGUUGUUGACUACAGGAUUUUUGUCGGUCCUCCUGGAUUCCUGUAUCCGUUUAGGAUCUGGCUUGUAUCUUUACAUUGUGUGUAUUUUGAUUCUAUCUACUCUCAAUGUGUACUCAUGCAAUUCUUAAAUCAUUGAUUAAUAACUUAUUUUACUUGUUAGAACAAUAGACCAGAGAUUCUAAUUCAUAAUUUGCAACACUAUCAU